rnacentral:rRNA from 1 species
GAGUUUGAUCGUGGCUCAGAUUGAACGCUGGCGGCAUGCCUUACACAUGCAAGUCGAACGGCAGCACGGGAGCUUGCUCCUGGUGGCGAGUGGCGAACGGGUGAGUAAUGCAUCGGAACGUAUCCUGGAGUGGGGGGAUAACGUAGCGAAAGUUACGCUAAUACCGCAUAUUCUGUGAGCAGGAAAGCGGGGGACCUUCGGGGCCUCGCGCUCUUGGAGCGGCCGAUGUCGGAUUAGCUAGUUGGUGAGGUAAAGGCUCACCAAGGCGACGAUCCGUAGCAGGUCUGAGAGGAUGAUCUGCCACACUGGAACUGGGACACGGUCCAGACUCCUACGGGAGGCAGCAGUGGGGAAUUUUGGACAAUGGGGGCAACCCUGAUCCAGCCAUGCCGCGUGAGUGAAGAAGGCC